UUGGGGUUCUCUGGCUGGAAGGAAUAUGCCCUUCGAAGGUUCUGGGCUGCCGAGGAGAAGUCACACAGCUGGAUGAAGGCCUCAGCCCUCCAGGCAUAGAAGUCCACCUGAAGGAACACUUGGCUGGUCCCAAAGAUGCGCUUCAGGGUUCCCUUUGAAACUGGAAUAACCUGUGGCUUUGGGAUGUCCUCUGAGGGAACCUGGUCAAUUGCCAGAGCAUCCUAGAACCAAGGGACAGCAGGCUUUCUCCACCAGCCACCCAAGCCGGAGACCCAUGACCCAACAGCUCUCAAGCCCUGUCUGUUCCACUGCCUCAAAAUCGGUCAGAUGGCUCCUCUUCUCUCGUCCCACGGUCUGGG